CGGGUGUACCUAUAUACAUCUCCUCAUUUAAGAAUAGAGGCCGGUGGUUGUUUGUUUCCGUCGAUGUAUCUGCUUACUGAGCUUCUCGCAUUU